UUAAGAAGCUCAGUUGUGGCCACUUCGAGGCUUUCAGGAACACAGGUCUCAUCACUGGAGGGCAGCGUUGGGUUAAUAUGGAUGUCUUUGAAAGACUCCAUGCACUCCAGGACACAUGAGGGCACAGACAUGAAAUAUCAAGAGCAUUUUCCCAUUGAAAACAUCGACUACUGGAAACAUGCUGUGCAGAGGAGUGCUCAUAAUACAGUACUAAGAAGAGAAGCAGCUGUUAAAGGAGACAGGACUACAAAGGAACGUGGCUUCGACUUCCGGGAAGAAAAUCAUCAAAUGGACUUUACAGAAAGACUGAGGCUGUCCCGAUCUGCCACGUCUGGACACAUGCAACCUGUGAGGUGGGCUAUGUGGGUGCACUGCAUAAGCCAAUCCUGAAUAAAGGACUGAAGGAUCAGAAAUCUAAUUUAAAAAAAAAACAACAACAAAAAGCACGACAGAGCACAAAAACUCAAAAGCAUGUAAACUCAAAUGGGCACACUGGCAGGGCUGGAAAAUUAAACAUGAUUGAACGCUGUCACUUCUGCUUCCUGUAAAAUGAUUUUUAAGCAAUUAAAAUCAUAUUAAAAAGGUUUAUCAUUUCAAAUUUUGUUUGUAAAUUGAUUUUGAUGAACUUAAAAGUACAGUAAUUUUCAUUCUCAACCCAUUGAGACUAUAAAUCAUGAUUACAAUACAAAGUGACCAGAAGCGAUCAUUUUAGUCAUCGCAGAGCCACACGUGGGCCUACAUGACUAACGCAGUGAUCGGUAAAUUAAAAAAAAGAUUUUAAAGUAUAA